CCUAGCCGCACACUCUAAAACAUACUACUCUCCAUCUCUAGUUUUCUCUUUCUCACUUCCUCUCCAUCUUUAAGUUUCUUUCUUUUGGUCUUAGAGAUAAAAGAAAAAUCAAACGAAGAUUAAAACACGUCAAUUUGAUAGCGGUUGUUUUGAUCUCCAUAGCUCCUCUAUGAUCGUUCUUGUUAGCACGAGAAGAUCAAAUCCUCUUAAUGGGAGCCUGGAUGUCUUUGGAGGAUCUCAACGUUGGGAUCUCAGAUCAAGAGACGGAGGAAUCAACACAAGAAGUCGAUCAAAGAAAAACUAUGAGGGUUGGAUAAUAUAGUUGGAAAAGCAAAGUCAAAAUCAACGGAAAGCAACACAAGCUCAUUUUUUUUUGGCUAUGAAAGUGACACUUGGACAAUACAUAGUGCAAAAAGAUAUGUAUUCCUACCUUUUGACCGAAUACUUUUUCGCAAAAUAUGGAUUGAAUGUCUGGAACAGUGGAUUCUUUCACUAUUGGUCCUUACACCCCAACUCCAUUUGACUGCAAAUUGGUUCUUGGGUUUCAGACUAAUGAACUUUAUAGGUUUUGUUAUCUUCAUCUUUUGUGAAACAUUUGAUAGGUGUCUGCAAAGUAUGAUAAAGGGUGUUGGAUUAUGUGCCUUUUGAUUCCCACACCCUUUAAUAUAAUAAUUUUUGUCUUUAUAUUUAAAAUCUGUAUGUUUUGGUGUGGGGUUUUUGUCUCUUUAUGUUUUUGUCCUCAUUUGUAUGGGCUGCUGACUUUUCGGUUUGUACAUUAAUUGUAGAAAUGAUGAUGACUGAUUAUGCUUAUUUUGAUGUAUGGGUUGAUAGUUUAAUUGAAUGAGUGUCUAUAAUUAAGUAUUUAGGUUUGAUUACAAUGUGGUAUGAAUAAGGAGAGAUUGUAUUAUAGGUAUUUUCUAGAAAUGUACUAAGGCAGGGGUAAGAGGGCUAAAUGUAGUUGUUGAAUGAGAUUGAGGGUAUUAGAUAACUAUUGAGGGAUUAUAAGGGGUUGAAUGUAAUUCCCAUAUACUUUGAAGACUGGGCCCACUGUUAGUUGUUAAUACUUAGGGUAGUAUCAUUUUUGUAGAAGACAAAUUCCCUCACACCCUUUUCAUGGUGAAUUUGAGCCCUUCAUCCCGGAGGCUAAAGUUAAUGAAUCUAUAAACGCCCCAAUUCUUGAUUAAGAUAUAAAUGCCCCAAUUCUUAAUGAAGCCAAAAAUGCCCCUAACGUUGACUUUUCUACUUUUGGACCUGCAAAUAACACAAACUCCCUACACACUUCAGAACCUAUAUACAAUCCUGAUAAUACUUCACCAUUGUUUGAGGGUGUAGAGACUAACAUCAGUGAAGAUGUUGAUGAAAAAUAGGUUGGUAAGGAAGUGGCGAGGGGGAACGGGGAGUUGAUGAGGUUAAGGUGGAAUAGGCUGGUGAUGAAGAAAGGGGUCAGGGGGAAGUGGUGAUGGCGAGAAGAAUGAGAAUUGGUCCAUGGCAACAACUUCCACACUAAAGUGCACAACGUAGGGAAGUCCACUAUGAACUGUGGGGUGUGUGUCAAAAGCUCAUCAUGUAUGGACACGGACUGCAAGUUCUACGGAAUUCUCGAAAAGAUAAUUCAGUUGGAUUACCCACUUAUUCCAAACAUGCAGAUCGUUUUAUUUAGAUGCCGCUGGGUUGAUCGUGUGAGAGGUAUGAAGGUACAUCCUCGUUAUCACCUCGUUGAUGUAAACUUCAAGAAAUUAUACCAAAAGAACGAACCAUUCACCCUAGCACAACAAGCAGUACAAGUCUACUACACGGAGUAUCCUAGCUUGAACAGAUACAAAUGGACUGGACGACUGUCUGCAAAACAAGAGCAAGAAAAGUCAUCGAUGACUCACGGUGGACCAAGUUGUGUUUCAAGAGGAUGAGGCAAUACCUACUCCACAAGUUGCAAUGGACAACCAUAAUUAUAACUUGCAUAACUCAAAUGGUAUUCAGUUAGUCAUUGAUCUUUCUGUUGCUACUCAACAAGGAGUAGGUGCAUCCCCGAUCAUUGGCCUACGAGACUGAUGACGACUUUGACGAAGAUAGCUUUGAUGAGGAAUACAAGAUUGAAGAAUACAAUAAUUAUGAUUGGCAUUAGUUAGUGUUCAUGUAUAUAUUUUUAAACUUAUCGAAGUACAAUUUUCAAACUUUUUUUUUUAAAACAAAACACAAUAUUUUUCUAUUUAGAAACGGUUUGAAGUUUGAAAACCGUUCUUAAGUAAGAUAUUAUCUACUUAGGAACGGUCGAAAUUUCCAAACCCAUUCCUAAACCGGCUCCUAAAUAUGG